UACGGAGGGAGCUAGCGUUGUUCGGAAUUACUGGGCGUAAAGCGCGCGUAGGCGGCUUUGUAAGUUAGAGGUGAAAGCCCGGGGCUCAACCCCCGGAAUUGCCUUUAAGACUGCAUCGCUUGAAUCCGGGAGAGGUGAGUGGAAUUCCGAGUGUAGAGGUGAAAAUUCGUAGAUAUUCGGAAGAACACCAGUGGCGAAGGCGGCUCACUGGACCGGCAUUGACGCUGAGGUGCGAAAGCGUGGGGAGCAAACAGG
rnacentral:rRNA from 1 species